AUUGACAUGAAGACUUAUAAAUAGGCUGGUUAUACCCUGUCAACAAUAAGUCCCAGUCACAACUUAGUAUGGACAUGAGGGUCCAAACUCAGCUCCUGGGGCUCCUGCUGUUCUGGCUCCCAGGUGCCACCUGUGACAUCCAGAUGACCCAGUCUCCAACCUCUGUGUCUGCAUCUCUAGGAGACACAGUCACCAUCACUUGCCGGGCCAGUCAGGGCAUUAGUAAUUAUUUAGACUGGUAUCAGCAGAAACCAGGGAAAUCUCCUAAGCUCCUGAUACAUAGGGCAUCCACUUUGCAAUCUGGAGUCCCAUCAAGGUUCAGUGGCAGUGGGUCUGGGACAGAGUUCACCCUCACUAUCAGUGGCUUGCAGGCUGAAGAUUUUGCAACCUAUUACUGUGAUCAGUGGGAUAGUUGGCCUCUCACAGUGUUACAAGUCAUAACAUAA